rnacentral:rRNA from 1 species
AUUGAACGCUGGCGGCAGGCCUAACACAUGCAAGUCGAACGAGUGGCGGACGGGUGAGUAAUGUCUGGGAAACUGCCUGAUGGAGGGGGAUAACUACUGGAAACGGUAGCUAAUACAGCAGACCAUCAGAUGUGCCCAGAUGGGAGUAGCUUGUUGGUGGGGUAAAGGCUCACCAAGGCGACGAUCCCUAGCUGGGCUGAGAGGAUGACCAGCCACACUGGAACUGAGACACGGUCCAGACUCCUACGGGCGUCAGCAGUGGGGAAUAUUGGACAAUGGGCGCAAGCCUGAUGCAGCCAUGCCGCGUGUAUGAAGAAGGCCUUCGGGUUGUAAAGUACUUUCAGCGGGGAGGCGUUACCCGCAGACGACGCACCGGCUAACUCCGUGCCAGCAGCCGCGGUCCUAC